GACGAACGCUGGCGGCGUGCUUAACACAUGCAAGUCGAACGGAAAGGCCCUGCUUUUGUGGGGUGCUCUAGUGGCGAACGGGUGAGUAACACGUGAGUAACCUGCCCUUGACUUUGGGAUAACUUCAGGAAACUGGGGCUAAUACCGGAUAGGAGCUCCUGCUGCAUGGUGGGGGUUGGAAAGUUUCGGCGGUUGGGGAUGGACUCGCGGCUUAUCAGCUUGUUGGUGGGGUAGUGGCUUACCAAGGCUUUGACGGGUAGCCGGCCUGAGAGGGUGACCGGCCACAUUGGGACUGAGAUACGGCCCAGACUCCUACGGGAGGCAGCAGUGGGGAAUAUUGCACAAUGGGCGGAAGCUUGAUGCAGCAACGCCGCGUGCGGGAUGACGGCCUUCGGGUUGUAAACCGCUUUCGCCUGUGACGAAGCGUGAGUGACGGUAAUGGGUAAAGAAGCACCGGCUAACUACGUG
rnacentral:rRNA from 1 species